GCGCUCGGGGAAGGGCCGGCGGCCGCCUCCUUCCUCCGCCGGAGAGGGGAGGAGGGGAGCGGAGCCAGGGAGGCACGGCCGGGCCCGGAACAAAAUGGCCGGGGCGGAGAGCGGCGGCCCCGCCGUGCCCGGUGAAGAUGUCAAACCGUUUACUCCAGAGACAGCCAAGGAAAUUGUGAUGUCUCUACAGCAACCUGCAGUCUUCUGUAAUAUGGUUGGCGACUGGCCAGCCCUGCACUGGAAUGUGAAAUACCUUUCUGCAGUGUUGGAUGGAAAGACAAUAGAGUUUAGAAUAGGAUCGAAGACAAUGGAUUUAGUUCCCCAGUUUGAAACCAGGUGUAGCUAUGUGAAAGCUACACUUGAAGAGUUUUUGGCUUGGAGCAGUGGACAACCUUCUUGUCUCUCUGGACCAUUCAGUUGUUUCGAGUACUCCAAGUAUUGGGCUUAUGCUGACUACAAGUACAUUGCCAGGAUAUUCGAAGACAAGGCAGAAAUUUUCCAGGAUAUAAGGUGGUCUGACUUUGGUUUUCCUGGAAGAAGUGGAAAAGAGAGCACACUGUGGAUUGGUUCUGAAGGAGCAAACACUCCCUGCCAUUUGGACUCCUACGGCUGCAAUUUAGUGUUGCAAGUACAAGGAAGGAAGAAAUGGCACCUCUUCCCACCUGGUGACACCAGUUUCCUUUAUCCCACCAGGAUCCCUUAUGAGGAAUCCAGUGUAUUCAGCAAAGUCAAUGUUGCCAAGCCUGAUCUGAAACGCUUUCCUGAGUUUAAGAAUACAACAGCCCACGUGGUUACACUCAGUCCAGGACAGGUCCUGCUUGUUCCAAGGCACUGGUGGCACUACGUGGAAUCCAUCGACCCCAUCACCAUCAGCAUAAACUCGUGGAUUGAACUGGAUGCAGAUCAUGAAGCUCGUGUAGAAGAAGCAAUAACUCGAACACUGGUAUGUGCCAUAAAAUCAGCAGAAAGCCCCGGUGAUGAAGAUAUCUGGCUAAAUCCCACAGAGGUUGAGGCAACAUCCCAUGAAAUCAAUCUCCAGUACCUGAAUAAAGCAGUGUCUGCAUAUUUCAAGUGUCAAAAGGCAAACGUAUCAGAGCAGACACGUCCCAGCAGCACUGAAGCAGAGCGAGUGACGAGUCCCUCACACAAGAGGAGGAAAAAGCAAGUUGGCUGGGAACCAGGGGGCUGCAAAUUACUAACCCAUGAAUUUGGCUCUUCAACAUUAAAAGCAGAAAAGUUCCAGAAAAUACCUUUUGGGCCUCACCUCAUUCAAGUUCUACCUCAGCCUCAAGAAACAAGCUCAACGGGUGCAGUCAAAAGUGACUAUAGAGAUCUUCUCCAUGAAAAUGAAGGAGGACAUUUUGGAAAAUUACACUGCACCAGGAAGCAAUUGGCAAUGAGUAAUGACUGCGAAACGCCUGCAAAUCAAAUGGAUUCAGACGGCAGUCCAAAUGCCUCCCAAACAGCCCUUUCUACCAAUGAUUUGCUAGACUGUUUGGUUAAUCCACAUGUCAUCAGCUUAGUGGCUCAGCUGCUGCUGGAGAGAGCAGGAGUUUAAUGCUCAAGUGCUUUAUCAUAUUUGAAAUAAAGAAGUCAAAUAACAGCCUUGUUCUGGCUGUUUAAGAAUGUAUUCCCUGCUUACUCUCAGCCAUGGGCAUGGCAGCAGUUGAGCAAGUGGUGACCUACAGGCAGCACCAGGAUGGUCCCAGCAGUGACAUGCUCUUCAUCCCUGCCACAGCUGGGUGAUGGUAAGAGAUUGUCACUGUGUGGCCAAACGUGGAAGUCAAAGCUGUGGGGCCACUCCAAGCAUCAUGCUGGGCCAGCAUGCUGAUCUCCACACACAGCCAGUCUGUCCCACUUGCCCAGUGGAAACCCUGGGCUUCCCUGCCCCAAAAGCAGCUACAGAGGGGUUCACAGGCAGGCCCCAUUCAUCUCUCCGGGGCUGCUGCACAUUGCUACUCACUGGCCCUCUGCACAGCCCUCACCUAGGGAUUUGCCCAUUGCUUGUCUGCAAAGAAAAAGUACAUUUCCAAAUCAAAGAGUCCUACCUCUUAAGACAACAGAAUCAGGGAGAACCCUAAACAGCCUCCUUAGUUCCAGUCUUUCACAGAAAAUCUCCCUAUUGCAUUUCAGUGGGCAGCAUGCUGUACGUAUUCCACUGCACUGCUUCCCCCCACAUUUGCAUCUCUCCAGAUUCUGCUCCAGCACCAGUCUCUCAAUGCCAGCGAGCAACUCAGCUGCAGAGCAGUGUCAUGAGAUACAGCAUGAGCCAUAAAUCAAAGUUUUAACUAAGAACAAGUUUGGCACAUCGAGGAGGCAGAGUGAAUCUUUCUGCGGUACUAAUUGCCUUUUAAAAAUAAAAGCAGUGCUACAAAUCAGUGUUUGCCCACUAGUAAGGUCCUUGCUGUAUUUCUCAGCCACAAACAUGAAUGUUCAGGUGUGUGGUGUCGGCAGCCUUCCUUGGGUGGAGUUUCCUGAAGCUUCUGGUGUUAAUAAGCUGUGGCUGAUGCAGAAUAACCAUUGCUAAAGGGUUUUACCACCAGAUUCAGUUCAAGGGGGCGGAAAAGUUGCUUAGUGUUACUGACUGCAUUGCACUUUCCUGUUCUCUGGACAAAGAGGUCUGAGCCCACAGCAAGGCCUGAAAAGCCACUGCACAGCUUUGUCAGGAGGCCUCAGGGUGCAGGAGGAAAUUGUUGCAUGGCUUGGUGCUUUGGAGGCAGAUUUUGCCAUAUCUGUACUGCAAGAAGAGCCACACAUCUUGGAGGUGUCCUAAGCAGAUGCUCCACUAGGAACCAGUGCAGAAACCCAGGGUCUGGGACCCACGCUAAGGAACUGGGCAAGCCUUGCAGCUGGCAGAAGUGUACCCGGUAAGCCAGAAACACUGCUUUGCAGCAGCCAGAUCUCCCAUGCAUUACAGCUGUCCUGGUCCUUGCGGCAUUGCUUACCUAUUUGCAGAGGCAGUGUGGUGGAAAAUGCAUUGCUAGCCCCAGUUCAGUGUGCAUAUUAUAGUUUCCCAGUGAAACUUCAUGCUAUGUUUGGAGGGCAUAAACUUUGCCCCUUCCAAAGCUCUGGUAAGAUUGUCCUAGCAGCGAGCUUCAAUUCCCUGUGAUGACCCAUGAAAACCACUUCACAAAGGUCUGAAGCUGACACUGCAAGCUCCAAGAACUUUUAAACCCAAUUUCCCAGCAAAGGAGGUAGGCCUGCACCUUUGAUGAAGGUCAGAAAGGUGGCUUGCAAAAGGGCUUUUCUCCUCCCUGUUGUGGUUCAACACACACAGCCAUCCCUGUCCCACCACCCCCAUGGGGAAACCCCUGAAUUUGUGGCAGCCAGAGGGUUAAAUUCACUCCUAAAUUCCUCCCCCAACACUGCCAUGCCCCCUCCUCCUGGACCAUGCCUAUUCAAAACACCUGGCAGCAAAAUUCGCCCUUCCCAUUAAGCCAAUGCUGGCCUUGUUCUGUGCCCUGGCACAGCACAUGAAUCCACUCCAAUUAGCAGCAGCCCUAACAAAGCAGGCUGGAAAACCACCAUUAAAAUGAAAAAUGAUGUUGUGUAAAUAGAAGGCAGAACAAGCGGGGCCAUAAUACAACUCAUUGCCAUCCCCAGACAAACAGCCUCAUAACUUACGAGGAGCUCGAUGCCUCGAGUGAGUUUUAGACUGUUUUCCCCAGGGAGGUAAUGCAUUGCCUCUGCCCCAUUCCGCAUUUGCUCAGAGCUUUAGAUUUUUUAUCCAAAGAGAUUAGGAUCAUUGCCGUUGUUAAAAGUGGGGCUUUCUGUUGUGUAACAGUCGUUCAUCGAAAUGUGGCUUAAUUUCUUGUUUGCUGCUACACAUUGACUGAAAGCUAAAGAAUCACAAGGAUCCGCGCUACGUGCUGUGCAUGGAUCAUCCCCGGUUUAGCCACAACUGUCUUCUGCUGACACCACCACAGCCCCAUCGCCCACCCAGCCCUGCUCCCUGGGGACCACCCAGCCCAGGCCAGCCUCCUCCCCAGCCACAGACAGAGCGGGACAAAAGGCUUCUGAAUAGCCAACAAAAUGAACUCCAAGCACAUGAAUAAACCUGGUUGCCACCAAGUUGCACCCAUAAGGAGGAGCCUUAGGGGCAAAUCAGAGCCAGAGAGCAGCAAGGCCAACUCUAGGAUACAGCACAUGCCAUCAGAAGCCUUUCCAGCUCUGUAGCUACUUUCCAGUGUCUGCCACUUAUGUUGUCAUUUUUAAUAGAGUUUUAAAAAUGAUUUUGAAGUUAGAAGAACCACCAGAGCACGGUAUGACAGAAAACAGACUUGCCCUGGCUGGGACAGGAGAGAAAGGAAGAGAUGACCAAGCAGGUCUUUCACAUCUUUGCCUCUUUGGAGAGUUAAUUAGCAGGGCAUGGUAAUGGUAUUUGUGCAUUUAGUGCAUGCGCCGAUUACAAUAAAUUCUGUCCUGCAUAGUAAAGUCAAAAGCAUCUCACAUCCGCCAAAAAGCAAUCAGGACCAAUUAAUGAAGAUGUAAUUUCCCCAGAUGCUGCUAUUAACAUAAUUCAUAGUGUUCCUAGCAACGUGAAUAUAAUUAACCCAGUUAACCACAGCUCUCGGCACUGCCACACCGAGCUGCCUGUGCCCGUGGGGACAGAGCUGGUCCUCAUCCCACCUCCGCAAGGAGAGGCUGGGGAGUCACUGACGUGGCCCAGGGCUGUUCUUAACGUAAAAGCAACACUACAGCCCUUAUCCCACAGUUUGGGGGGCUCAAAUGCACCUCUCCAAUGGGAUGAGCAACCCCACAGCAGACCCAACCCAGGAAAGAGCAUGCACAGGUCAAGGGCAUGGCAAAAGUUGAGACAAUUCUUUAGUCCUAGGUGCCUGCUGGCUCCUUUUCUGCCCUUUUUCCUGUUUGAUGCCCUGUGCAAUGACAAAGUAAAUGCACUGCUCUGCUUUCACAGCCAUCCAAAGCGCAACAACUUACUGUUGGGGAGGACAGGCUGGGAGCUGACAGGGUCCAUUAACAGUCCCAGACACAGAAAGCCACAAAACACAUCCCAGGUCCCACCAGGAAGACGGUCUGGGAGCAAAAGGAGAUAGGACUGAAAACCUGCUGGCCCAAAGCCCAUCCCAGAGGGGAGGCUCAAGGCCCACAGCACAGCCCAAACGGAGCUGGUGGCCUAGGGCCGAGUUUAAAUGGUGUCCAGGGCCCAUGUGGGUCCCAGGUGAGGCCAGACAAGACCAUUAGGGCCUUCGUGAGCUCAUCCUGCAGUCAUCACAGCACCGUGGCAGCCAUCAAGGCAUUGUGGGGUGCAGCUGGUGCUUGCUUCGGCUGGGAGCCAUGGCAGAGGCCAAGCCUCCAGCACUGGUGGGACAGGCAGCACAGGUGGAUUUCCUCCCUCUCCUGGUCCCAAUUUGGCCCCACAGCUGCUCCUGGAGCAGCAAGCCAGGGUGGGGAGGAGAAGACCAAGAAUCAGGUGUAUGGGCUGAGGCUCAGGCCUUCUCCUGGCCCUUACACAUGGGGGGUGACGCUGGGCCUCCUGCAGCCCCCUGCCUGUUCCUGUAGUGGUGAAAUGAGAUCACUGCUCACCUGCAGGAACAAGGGGUGUCCUGAGAAGACUUCUGGGUUGUGUGUGUCUGGGCUUUUUUUUUUUUUUUUUUCCCCACCCUGCUCCAUUUUUGAUGAAAUUUCACAACAACAGAACACUUGGGUAGCGUUUCUUAACAGCUCAAAAGAGUUGGAAGGGCUUUUCUGUCCUGAGGGAAGAGCCCCUCGUUUCUCUCCCUACCUUUUUUCUAGCAAGAGACGAAAUAAGAAGGAGGACAUUAAAAAUUAAUGAAUGCUUUUUCUUUUUUUUUUUUUUCCACAAGUGUGGAAAGUUUUCAAAUGAAUUUGAUCAGUUCUUUUGAUAGCUGUGGUCAGUGGGGAGCUCAUUCCCCUGGGAGCACUUUAAUGCUUUUAGGAUGCAGGGGGAACUUUGACCAAACCAUGUUUCAUAGCUGGAGACCACCAGCAUUUUAAAUAAUUCAUUGAUUUUUUGCAAUUUGAUUUAACUCAAAUCACCUGAAAAUAUUAGGCUCAAAAAUGUGGAUAAGUUGCUGGGUCAGAAAAGCAGGACAUUUUGAUGAAAGUACAGACCUCUCGGAGCCAGUCAGUAGUUUAACAAUUACCCAAUAUAAUAGCUUGGAAAAAGAUGCUGUGGACAAAGGUGAGAUCACUCAUGUUAAUUAAAGGAUCCGAGCCACAAUGCUCCUGCCUUAAUAGUGGAUUUAAGCUGAGGUAUUGUAAAGCAAUGGUAGAACGGAUGCUGCUUUAAUGCAAUUAAGGAAGAAGCAGGGAAUUAAUGAGUGUUUCCAGGGAGGGCUGGGGAAGCUCUGCCAGCUCCCCACUGGCACCUGGGCUUGGGGCUUUGGUGGCCAUGGGGGAAAGUGGAUGCCAGGAUGAGAUGCUGCUGAUGGGCCACCAUGCCUCUGUAUUUCUUCUAACACAUCUCUUGUGAAAAAUUAACACAUCUUCCCCGUCCUUCCCCAUGGUGUUUAUCCCUCCAUUCAUCGCAGGUUUUGCUCAAGGGAUGUGAUUUGGUGCCCAAGCCCAAAGAUGGGGUCACAGGUCUGCAUCCCUGAAAGGGGAGACCCCGAGGAGGGGACCAAGGUGCUGGUCCCCUCCAUGCAUGCUCUGCACAGUGCAGGUAAUCACAUGCACAGCACAUGCCAAGGUGGCUUCUUGAACAGCAUUUUUUUUUUUUUUCUUUUUUUUUCUUUCACCAGAGCAAACCUUUUAUUUUCCCAGCUACAGAAAAUCGAUGCCUCUUUUCAGUUAAAAGUCCUGGCUUGAAACUUUGGGUGCCUUAAAUCAUCUUUGUGUGACUGGAAGGAAGGCAAAGUCCUUCUCUGCUGCCAGCAGCCCUGGCACAGGGAGGCGGCUGCAGGCAGGGCGAGGGCUCAGUGCCCAGUGCUGACCCCACUGGGUGUCGUUCAAGCCUUGACCAAAUUAAAUGCGGAGAGAUUUAAAUCUUCCCUUGGGACUUCUCAGGAACAUAUUCUGCUGGGAGAAGAACUGACCACUUGCUUUUAACAUUUCUUGGCAAGGCUUUACAUGCCUGAAACAUGGGAAGCAUGGGCAGAGCCCCAGGAAUAAUUUUUAACAAUCCUCUACCCCAGACUUUUCCCUCCCUCCCACUUUAUUUAAUUUCCCCCCCUUGAAAUCAAGAGGGGUGCUGCUGAGCCUGAAGGCAUAGCUCUUUCGUCUCAGCUCACAAGGAAGGAAAAUAGCCUUGUUCUCAUUUUCAUGCUAAUGCCUGAAAAAUCUUCCAGCCAAAUCCACGUUUAUCACGGCAGAUUGAAGGGCACACAAUGGAGGGGUUCAUUGCACUCCUGCAUUUUACCUUGUACCUUUGUUUGUGUUAUAAAGUGGUGUGAGCAAGAAGAUUGCUUUUUCUUUGAGGUGUCACAGGACAGAAUAUUCAUAUCAAAGGGAAGCAAGGAAUGACACCUUUAGCUUGAAAAUGAGCAUAUUUCCCAACAAUUGGGAGAGAAAAGUGAGGUUUGAGGCAUGAGCUGACCUGCAGACCUCAUUUUUUCCACAGGAGUGAAAAGCGAAGCCACCCUGAGCCACAUGGGCAUCCAGGGCUCUGCAGUUCCCCCGGUCCCGACAAGUGAGGCAGCAACACCAAUGAUUUUCACUAACCUAAAUGCUGUCUUUUAAAUGGUUAUUCACACAAUUAAUAGAGAAGUCAAAUAACCCAAAUGAACGAUAACGUUUUAAAGUAAUUAUUUGCUGCAAAUGAACACAAAUGAUUUCAAUAUAUAAUGCAUUAGCUCCAGCAGCUGGGAGAUUCAUCAUGAUUCGAGGUGUGCUCAGAGCUGGGGCCCUGCCUGAAGUCUCCGCAGCUGUAAAUCCUCAUUUUCUUUCCUCCAGUAUAAACUUUGCAUAGAUUUCCCUUCCAAGUGCACAAUGAGCUUUUCCUUUUCAUCCCUCAUUGGCUCCACUUUGUGAUCCCACUGGAGGAACCUCAGUGCAGGACACAGCCCAGCCUGAGGUUCAUUUGCUCCAAAGCUAUUUUAUUUUAUUUUAUUUUAUUUUAUUUUAUUUUAUUUUAUUUUAUUUUAUUUUAUCUUAUUUUAUUUUAUUUUAUUUUAUUAUCAGAAGGCAUGUUGUGUACAAGAAGAGCUGUUUGAUGGACCCUCCCAGCAAAGUGCCCAUCAGAGGGUGCAGCAGGGCUGAUGUUCACCAGCCCCAUUUCUCCCAAACCUGGCCGUGGUUUCCCAGCCUCUCCCACGUCACCAGCUGGCAGGGGCAUCUGAUCACAUCACCAAACAGCAACUGCCUCAAACUGAUAUUUUGUGUGCGUGACGCAGCUUCUUCCGCUUAAUUCAAUCACAGCAUGAUUAGCUUACACUCCCUGGCACCUGUUUAUUUGGGCCAAAGGAGCACGCUUCCCAGCUUUUAUUUUCAUGCUUCUGGGUACCACAAUCAGUGGUGACAGAAAGUUUCUGUUUCAAUUAAUGAGCGAGCAAAGGAAAGGAAGGGAGAGGAGCAGGGACAGAGGAGAGCUGGUGAUUGCUGAGGAGGAUUAGGGCUAAUUGCCCUGGUUCACUGUCACUAGCAAUUUCCCAGGCAAACCUGGAGGGCUGGAGACACCUCAGGUGCUCGCAGUGUUGCUUUUGCCACCUCCACCACUGCUCUGGCCAGCCUGGUUUAACGUCCCACAUCUGGGGGACAUUGCAGGUGGCAGUGUGAUGAUGGGGAUGGGACCAGCAGUGUGGCAAAAAGCUGCACCCCGCACAGACAGGCUCCAAAAACAUCCUGCCAAACUGCAUGGAGACAACAAGGUCCAAAACACCAGGCAUGGAGGAGAAGUACUUUUCCUCUUCUUUUCCUUAUUUGUUCCUUUGAGCUAAAUUUUUAGUUCUAAGUGCCCCAUGCCAGUCUAGGAGCAGACCCCAUGAAGCCCUCUGUGUGGAGAACAUAUGUUUAGAAAUAACGGGAAGCUUUUAUCCACCGCAAAACCUUUGCCAUAAAACUUCAUAAAGUGAAUUUUUCCUUCAAUGGGUCCCCUGGGACCUAAAAAAUAAAUAUCUGAGGAUUCAUGUAGUAGUAAAAGUCGAUAAAAGUCUUUGAAGCAAAUAGGCUAUUGAGGAAUUACGCGUGGAAGUGAAUGGAUGGAUUCCUCCACAAAUCUCUUCACGGAGGUGCGCUGACAUAAUGAAGACACAGUAGGCGCAUUAGGAAAAAUCCCCUUUUUAAUAACAGCUAUGCCGUGUGGUAUUCCUAAAGUGAUGGCUUGCCGGGUGGGAAAUCCACUUAGCAGCGUUUAAGUGGAGGGGAGGUGGAAGGAGGCGGCCUGGGCCGGGACCACACGCAGCAGUGACAGGGGGAUGGCAGCGAACCCAGGGCUGAGCCGCGGCCUGUGUCCUCUUGUCCCAGUGUCCCCACACUGCUGUCACCAGCAGCUCCCCUGGCCCCACUGCCUACCCCGGUGCAGCCGGCCCCAUGGAUAAGCAUUGCUCUCUGCUUUCGUUAGGAUCCAUUUCAUUUUUUCUGAGGAAAUGUCGGGCCUCCAUAAACCCCCUGCUGCUGACUGCAGAGGUCUCGGAGGGGUUUUGGCUGAGCAAGCAUUUCUCUUGUAAAUCUAAAUAUUUGUACUACAGCUGUGUAAACAGUCAAAACUCGAAGGGUUUUUAUUUUUAACCUCCCUGAUUUCCAGCAGGGGAUUAGGAUGGAUGUAUUGUGUAGUCUUACGUCGCCUUGUGCCAUUUAUUGCACAUUGACGAGCUCAGUCUCCUUUCUGGAGGUGUUUCUCUGUUAUUACUUAUAUGGCAAAUCCAGAUGGAUGGGAAUUAGAUGCUUGUUACUUUAUAUUGCACUGUCUACCCAGACACCAAAUGUUCAUCUGUGUGAAUGCAGUGGUCCAAAAUUUCUUCUGGCUUUCUCUGGGCAGGAUUGCAAGGUGCUGCCGGGGAAGGAGAGCUGAAACCAGCUCCUGUGUGCUGUGCCACUUCGUUCUUUUUAAGUGCUUUACAGCAAAACAUAGCUUGGACCAACUUGUACAAAUGCAAAGAAAGAGCAGCCAAAAUGUCGCGCCGAGGCAGCUGUGCUGUACAGACGUGCUGCAGACAGAUGUGGCAGCUUUUCACCUGAAUAUUAAACAAGGAGUGGAAGGCAGUCCAAGCCUCUGAAAAUUAAAGGUCUAAAUCCAUUUAAAUUUACAAACUCUGUAAAUAAAUAAUAAACCAGAACACUGCAGCUCCUGCUCUAAA